UGCCUGUGGUUGGGUUGGACUCUAAGCAGAUGGGAGAGGAUGGAGGGGCAGAGAGCAGGCUUCCACGGAGAGCAUGUGCACAUCUGUACCUGAAGGCAAGUUAUUCAUCGUCUUGUUUCCUGUUUUCCUAUUUGUGUCUGGAGCCCUGGCCCACGUGCGAGACAACAGCUGCUGAGCUGCACUGAACUGAGGCCAGAGGCCAAGAACCGAAGAGCCUGGGAACCUCACCCUGCUUGGGACCUACUCUGUGGAGUCCGUGCGGCUGGGGCGUCCCUGGGCCCGGGGCAGCUGCAGGGGUGGGACUUCCUGCCCAAUGGAAAGAGGAGCCCAGGUUCAGCUGAGAACGUCAGCCGCCGCCCCCGCCGCCACCUCCCAGUGUCCUCCGCUCCGUCCAGGAAGACAAGAGGAAGAGGCAGGGUGCCAGCGGGACAGUGGGAAGUGGGGCCCACAACUAGUGUCUGCAGGGGGGCAGGACACUCACACUCUGCCCUCGCAGGCUCAGCACAAGUGGCCAUCAGCCACAAAGUCGGGGGCAGGUGGCUCCCGGGGCCCUGGAGAGAUGAGGCGCCCGAUCCAAGAAAACACCAGAGGAGCUAGGGCAAGAGGAGCAUGAGCAGAACUCAGCGCCCAGGAAGAGAGGCGUGAAGGGCUCAGGCUGGGUCCGAGGACCCAACUUCAGACAAUCUGCAGCUCUCCAGGGCAAGGCCUCGCAAAGUUCUUGUUUUUGUUUUAUUGGUUUCAUGGAGGAAGGAAGAGGGAGAGAUAGAAACAUCAAUUGCUGGAAACCAAGAUCAACAGUAAUUAAUAUAAAUGCGAUAAGUCCACCAGAAGGCUGAGUUUGGACUCCUUUGAUAUUCACAGGGUGAAUUUGCAUUUCAUUACCUAGGGCUGACUCAGUGGCCUAAAGCAAACUCCCCUCUAACCUGAUAAUCUUACUGUUUACUAAACAUUACCAUUGAUGUGUCUGUUUGCAUUCCUAAAAGGCACUUGUGUAUUCUAGUAAAUAAAAGCAGCUGGGAAAGGAGACUCAGUGGAACUUAACUACGACAGUUAAGCUUUUCCUUGGCUUCCCCCCAUAAUUUCAAAAUUAAUUUUUCUUGUCUUGUGUGUCAAUUUGCGCAUCAGCUCUUUCUCCAAGCCUUUGAACCCGCUGGCCGUGGCUUUUCACAAUCAAUGAUGAGAGAGAAUCACUGAUUGGCCAACUUCUACACACCCCCUACUGGGAUCGAGCUUGCAACCUGUGCACGUGCCCUUGACGGGAAUUGAAUCCAGGACUCUUCAGUCCACAGGCCAACACUUUAUCCACCGAGAAAAUCCAGCUAGGGCCCUCGGGAAGCUUUCCACCCUCUGUGUGUCCUGUCCCCAUUGGUCAGAGGCAAAUGUAAAUGAAAUGAUGUCUAAUAAAGCUGGUAGCGUCUUAAUAAAUGUCAGUUCCCUUCCCAGA